rnacentral:rRNA from 1 species
UACGUAGGGGGCAAGCGUUGUCCGGAAUCAUUGGGCGUAAAGCGCGUGUAGGCGGCCCGAUAAGUCCGCUGUGAAAGUCCAGGGCUCAACCCUGGGAUGCCGGUGGAUACUGUCGGGCUCGAGUCCGGAAGAGGCGAGUGGAAUUCCUGGUGUAGCGGUGAAAUGCGCAGAUAUCAGGAGGAACACCAAUGGCGAAGGCAGCUCGCUGGAACGGUACUGACGCUGAGGCGCGAAAGCGUGGGGAGCGAACAGG